GUUAGAUCUUAGGGAUUUGCUCACUUGUUAAUAACUUGUAUAAAAGUCAGCAUGACUUGAUUUCAUAUGCAAGUCUUAAAUGUAAAUUAUGCUCAAGAGAAAGCAAAGCUGUGCUUGCUAUGAACCUUAUCCGAAGUUCAAAGAAUGUCUCAGAAAUUUAAACA